rnacentral:rRNA from 1 species
CUUGCAGCGGGGAUUAGUGGCGAACGGGUGAGUAACACGUGAGUAACCUGCCCUUAACUCUGGGAUAAGCCUGGGAAACUGGGUCUAAUACCGGAUAUGACUGAUCAUCGCAUGGUGGUUGGUGGAAAGCUUUUUGUGGUUUUGGAUGGACUCGCGGCCUAUCAGCUUGUUGGUGAGGUAAUGGCUUACCAAGGCGACGACGGGUAGCCGGCCUGAGAGGGUGACCGGCCACACUGGGACUGAGACACGGCCCAGACUCCUACGGGAGGCAGCAGUGGGGAAUAUUGCACAAUGGGCGCAAGCCUGAUGCAGCGACGCCGCGUGAGGGAUGACGGCCUUCGGGUUGUAAACCUCUUUCAGUAGGGAAGAAGCGAAAGUGACGGUACCUGCAGAAGAAGCGCCGGCUAACUACGUGCCAGCAGCCGCGGUAAUACGUAGGGCGCAAGCGUUAUCCGGAAUUAUUGGGCGUAAAGAGCUCGUAGGCGGUUUGUCGCGUCUGCCGUGAAAGUCCGGGGCUCAACUCCGGAUCUGCGGUGGGUACGGGCAGACUAGAGUGAUGUAGGGGAGACUGGAAUUCCUGGUGUAGCGGUGAAAUGCGCAGAUAUCAGAGGAACACCGAUGGCGAAGGCAGGUCUCUGGGCAUUAACUGACGCUGAGGAGCGAAAGCAUGGGGAGCGAACAGGAUUAGAUACCCUGGGUAGUCCAUGCCCGUAAACGUUUGGCACUAGGUGUGGGGGACAUUCCACGUUUUCCGCGCCGUAGCUAACGCAUUAAGUGCCCCGCUGGGGAGUACGCGCAAGCUAAAA